rnacentral:lncRNA from 1 species
UUGGCUUGAAUCUCAUUCUGAGUGGCUCACUUCUUUGUGUUUCGGGUGAUUUAAAAAAUUAUUAUAAGGUCAUAGUUUACUGAAUUUAAUCUGUCUGAAUCCUGAGAGCCUAACCUGAAGCAUGGUCUCUUUGAUACAGAAUCUACAACUGGUCUUAGAGUUCUAGAGACCUGGCUUAACAUGGGAAUCCCAAGGUUAGCUCCCCUACUUCUUGUUAGACUUGAAGCAACCCUGGAUUACUAUUUCUGUGUUUGCUUCCUUCCUGGAACACAUAGGUUUUAGCAGAUGUUUAUUCUUUUCCCUCUCUUUCUUGGCCCUGAGAGACUUCUCUCACUUAAAAGUCUAGCAACAUCUUCAAAAAUGUCUUGUUGUAGUUAAUGGGCUUUUCAGUAUAUAUUCCACCAUUCUGCUGUUCCAUACGUUUUAGGAACCAUGUUCUGUACUCUUGGCAGAGGCAGUCACUUGGGUAUUUAAUUAAAAAUUUUUUUUCAAGUAAAAUCACUGUAAUAGUGUUUUUUAAAGCUGA